AGGACGAACGCUGGCGGCGUGCUUAACACAUGCAAGUCGAACGGAAAGGCCCUUCGGGGUACUCGAGUGGCGAACGGGUGAGUAACACGUGGGUGAUCUGCCCUGCACUUUGGGAUAAGCCUGGGAAACUGGGUCUAAUACCGAAUACACCUUGCCGGCUGCAUGGUUGGUGGGGGAAAGCUUUUGCGGUGUGGGAUGAGCCCGCGGCCUAUCAGCUUGUUGGUGGGGUGAUGGCCUACCAAGGCGACGACGGGUAGCCGGCCUGAGAGGGUGUCCGGCCACACUGGGACUGAGAUACGGCCCAGACUCCUACGGGAGGCAGCAGUGGGGAAUAUUGGACAAUGGGGGCAACCCUGAUCCAGCAAUGCCGCGUGUGUGAAGAAGGCCUUCGGUUGUAAGCACUUUUAUCCGGAACGAACGCGCAGGGCGAAUAACCUUGCGAACUGACGGUACCGGAGGAAUAAGCACCGGCUAACUUCGUGCCAGCAGCCGC
rnacentral:rRNA from 1 species